rnacentral:lncRNA from 1 species
GGCUUCUGACUGCUAUUUAUAGAUUUUCAAAACAUAGCAGUUCGCUGAGCGAAAUGAUGUUCGCUAAGCGAACAGGUUACUUAGGCAAGGGGUUUCUUGACACGUAGCAAAAAGCCUGACUCAUCAUUUAUUCGCUGAAGCUCGCUAUCUCUCGCCAUCAGACCAUAAAUCUCUGCCUUUGUUCGCUAUCUCUCGCUAACCUUCGCUGAGAGAAUGUUCAUUUGUUGUUCUGCUCGCUGAGGCUCGCUGAUCUUCGCCAUGGACCCUUAACCCACUGGUUUCGUUCGCUGCAGCUCGCUGUGGCUUCGCUGAGCGAAGGCUUCAAAAUCCUGCCUUUUU